rnacentral:lncRNA from 1 species
GCAGAAUUGUCAAAUGACCUGCUGGGGGAGGUUGUAGGAGUUUAGCAGAUUUGAGUGUGGCUGCAGAGAGAGAGAGUGUGUGUAUGUGUGCACAUGUGUGAGAGUGUGAGCGAGAGUGUGUGUGUGUCCAUCUAAGUGUGUGUGAUGAAGGUGGGAUAAGGCUCCUCUGUUAGUGCUGGAAGCUCCUGUAAUUGCCGCAUGGAUCCCACUGUGCCCUCUUGUUCUGUGCAAGUCUGUCCUGUCUGGGCACUAACCUUGGUCCCAUGCAUGUUUAUGUUCUGGGUGGGGCUUUGCCUCUCCACUGGGAAACUGACUUUUGCUGGGUUGAACAGAGUCCCUUAUGCUUUUUGUCCUCUCCCUGCGCCUGGGAGAGGUGGGAGUAGGAGCCCAAACACACAGGUACAGAAAGAUCUGGAAGAAGGCCUGGCAGUGAAUCCAAGGACUCUGGGCCCCCAACAAUAGAUGGUAGCGUAAGUCUGGAGCAGCGGUGUUUCACCACCAAAUGCCUUUCCAGGCUGCCCUUCCAACACUCAGGAGAGCAUCCAGAUCCCUGGGCAGAGGCUCUACAUUCUUGGCUUUAGAGGUGGUGGCAGCGGCAGCAGGUCAGAGCCACUUCUGGCGGUUUCCCUCCCCUUUUUAGUGCCCAUAGUUUUUGGAUCCUCCCUUGAGUUUUACCAGCACAAGCCAUUCUUUGCCCCUGUUCACAUAACUGAGCUCAAGCUCUUGCCAAACACCAACAAGCAAGAUGGUUGCAACCUGGCAACAUUGAAUCCACCACCCUUGGGCUCCCUCUGGAAGCCCCAGCACCGGGGGGCUUUUGGGCACAGGGUCAGUGGUAGCCAUCUUAGACACUGACAUUUGGCUUUGUCGUCAAUUUCAUCACCCUCCUUGAGGUUACUGUGCAGUUUCAACCAGCAUUUUAUCCUAGUGAGGUCAUUAUCAGGAGUUGCCAUAUCAUCUCUCCAGUACCUAACAUUUCUCAUCCACUUCAAAAGCUGUUCUGACUGCCAGCUGGCUGAUCUAAGCUCCUGAGGAAUGUCUCCUCUCAAAGGAAUUUUUCCCUCCAAAGGCCCCCUGAAGUCCUAGUUGGCAUUGGCCUGGCACAUGCUUUAUGUUAGGCCUCCCGUUGGGAUGGCUGAGAAUCAUGAAAGACAGAUCCUCCGCUAGCCUCUGUGGGUCAAGUUUCUGGACACCAAGUCUCUGGGAACUAGUGUUUGAUUUUAAAUGGCAUGUGGCCCUUCCUUGUUUCAGUGACUUAGAAAAGUAAAAGCCAUUUAAAAAAGUUAGCAAGAUUUUUUAUCGACUUCCCAACUGGGCUUCCAGCCUUGUUGAAUGAAAUCAUCUAUCUCUGAUUGGGCGCAACGAACUGCAUUUCUUUGGACUUCUGAAUCCAUGUUUGUGCUUUCUCUGGCCCGUGAACACCUCGGCGAUUCUGUUAGGGAUGGGAUGAGUGGGAGGAAGCCCUUUGAGAAGGGGGAGCCGGCCCUGUCAUGCGCAGGUUUUCCACUCAUCUGAGGAAGAGCCAGGGCUCUGAAUUUAGCCUAACACUCAUCUUGGCUGUGGGCUUGGGAAGAAAUGGCCAUUAUUUACAGAUUGUAUUUGGUACAUAUUGUGUGAUACUUGAAAAGAUAAAAGGGACUGCCAGCCCCUAACUGAAAUCUGAAGCUUUUUAUCGCUUAUUUUUCCUCGCCCUGUCUCCUCCCUUCCACCUUUCUCCUUGCAUUGUGAUGAUCUAGUAGGCACGUCUGUCAACAGGACACAUGCCUCCUCUGACUAUAACCUCUUAAUAGUUGUGUAUAAUGAAAACUGUAAACUUUUUUAAAUAAACGUGUAUAUACCUUGGC